UUAGAUGGAGAACAGAAAAAGGGAGGAUUGCACGAAAAGACCUAAAAAAAAAAAUUCCACAACCUCUAAUCCUAAAUCUGGGCAAGAACCAAUUUUUUUCCCUUUCUUCAUUCUUCAAGACUCUGAGAUAUUUCACAAAUAAACAAACAUAUAUUCUGUCUAUCACCACAAAACACCUAAAACAUAUCUUUAUAACACCAUAAAUCUAACCUUAAAAAACCUUUAGCUUCCCUUCGUUGGUCGAGCUCGAGGUCACUGUCCUAGUCCCCGCCCGUUCCGGUUUGAAAAGUUUCAGAUACAUAUCUGUUGAAAAGGAAAGCUUCACUAGAGAAAUGAAGCUUUGACAAAGAAGUAGUGCAUACUCUACUAUUUAUACACACACAGCAGAAUAUGCUAAGCACGUAGGGUAACUCUCAGUUAUCAAGGAAUUGGAAAUAGAAGAUCUCAGGUAAAGCUUAAUUCUAGGGAACUCUUUUGCUUCUCUUUGCUAAGUUUGAUAUCUAUACUUCUUGUUAAACAUAUACACAGACAAGUAUAGGAUGUAAACCUAUUGCAUAAAUGCUCCACCUCUCGCUAGCUUGAUUUUAAGAACCUUCGUAGGCUAGGUGGCCAAUCUCCACAUCAUCUUCGGUUCAGGAGAAUAGUCAACUCUUUGCCAUGACUCCCUUUCCUGAACGCUUUCUGAGUUGUUUGGAUAUUGGUAGGUCCUGAUUUCCAACCAUGCUUAGGCAGUUUGUUCUGUUCUAUUGUAGCAGUUCUAAGGAAUAUUUUGAACCUGAUUGAAGGGUUAGUAGCUUGGUAUUUGUUCUCCUAGCAUAUUGCUAGGUGAAGUUUCAGAUGUUAGAUCUCUAUCUUUCCUGUAUUAAUUGUUGAAACAUAUUAAUUGUGUUUGCUGUCCAUCUUUAUGGUGGCGAUGCUAAGAAAUUGGAAACUGAAAUUUGUGCAGUUGCACAAACUUCUUUCCCAGUGUCUUCUUGAUGAUUUGAAUUUGUAGCUGGAGUUUUCUU